CCCUUAGAUGUUCUGGGCCGCACACGCGCUACACUGAAGGAGGCAGCGUGUACUCCUGGAUCGAAAGAUUUGGGUAACCCGCGAAUCUCCUUCGUGCUAGGGAUUGAGGUUUGCAAUUAUCCUUCAUGAACGAGGAAUUCCCAGUAAGUGCAAGUCAUAAGCUUGCGCUGACUACGACCCUGCCCUUUGUACACACCGCCCGUCGCUACUACCGAUUGAAUGAUUUAGUGAGGACUUCGGACUGGGACCGAUGCGGCUUUCGGGCUGCGUCGGUAUUCUGGAAAGAUGUCCAAACUGUAUCAUUUAGAGGAAGUAAAAGUCGUAACA
rnacentral:rRNA from 1 species